GCGGGCUCGGGGGCGGCGGCCGGCGGGCUCGGGGGCGGCGGCCGGCGGGUUCGGGAGCUGCUGCAGCCCGGAGCGCUCCCCGCCCCGCUCACCGCUCCCUUCAUAAAAUUGGGCAUGCACAGAAGGCCAAGCAGUAUAAUGAAGAAAAACAACAGGACAAUUCCUUCCUAACUGUGUUGGAGCAUUUAAGGAAGGAUAGCUCUGAAACUUGGGUACCAUGGAAAGCUCCUGGACUCAGCUGGUUGCAGCUAGAAAUCUGAUUAACAAGAGUGAUUCUUACUGGUUUUAGACUUUAUUUAAUAAAAUGGAUUUUCUGAGUACCUCUGAAGACUCUGUCAGUAAUAGUUUACCUGAAAGUCUUCAAGCCAAAGACCUGAGACAGUUUGAUCCAGUGAAAGGCACAGGAGUUAGAAUGAAGAAACCAGAGAAUUUUGUCCUUUACCUGAGGCUCAUUUCUACUGUACCUCAGUUCUCUCCUUUGUAAAACAGAGAUAAUCAUCCGUCUCUCACAGCAUUGUUAUAAGAAUUAAAUGAGGUUAGAGAAUGA